AGGGUGUCUCGCCAACAGUCUCCGUAUCGCAACCCCAAGCUGGCCACACCGGUUCCGGGAGCAGUCGCUUCACGGCGGUCGAGUUUUCUUAGGACUCCCAUUCUUGAGGAGCUGGUUUUAGAGGAAUUUGAGGUGGAGAUUCCCUUGAAUCUGUCACAUUUCCCGGUGUCGAAAAAUUAUUGCCAGCCCUCCGCGUCCGCGAUUUCUGAAUUUCAUAACUGCUAUUUCUGCUUUAUACAGCUGUUAUCCUAACUUGCAGUAAUAGCUCCCACCCCUAAAUUCCCAUAAACACUUAAUGCCCCAUGACCUAUGUUUAUCUCUUUAUUAUUUGCUGCCUUAAACUGCUACCAAGUGCUUUCACAGGCGUAUAUCUUGGCUGCUCCUUGAGGUCAGGAAUGUGUCUUUUCAGCCUAUGUCCAGGCUGGACACGCAGAAGGUGCUUAUUAAAUCCUCUAGUUCAUUAAUAUAUCCUCUCAAAAUCCUAUUUAUCUUUAGUCCCAAUUUCUACUCCUAUCCCUUACUAUUUGAUACCCUUCCCAAGUGUCUUUCUUUUUUCCUACCAAGACAUUUCAUUUCUUGAGGGGAUGGGGUGCACAAACAAGGACACUACCAGAUUUUUCCCCCCUUUAUAUGCCUAAUUGAUGACUUCUCUUUUAAGAAAGGAAAGCAUUCAUUGGUGUUUAACUUCCCAGAUAUCCAGAUAUUUCUUUUUGCUCCUCUCCACUCCACCAACAGGCUCCUGUGAGUCACUCUGAGUUUGGAUGUGGUAAGGAUCAGAGCCAAACUAGGACCUGCAUUUAUGAUCUCGAGGCUGAGGUGCCAUAGGUCAUAAAGGUGGACUGUCUUUCCCAGCAGGAAGAUCACAGAAACCUGACCUGACUCGACUGCCGCCUUCAGUCAGCACGAAGAACUACACACAGAGAAAAUGCCUCAAUAUUAGUUACCAUGGUGAUGCUAAUUCAACCACAUUUCAUCUGUGUAAAAAUUUCAGGCAGAACAGUAUACAGAAGUACUGGCUAAAGGACUUAACACUUUAUUUUUUGUUGUUGUUGCUGUUGCUGUUGCAAAGUUAACGUUAGCUUUGGUAAAGGAUGAUAAUUUGAAGUGAAAUCCUUUGAAAAAUUGAAAACAAGCAAGGAUGAAAUGUCAAACUUAUCCAUUGGAGCAAUCUCCUAAUAGCCACUUUUGCACUAUACCAAAUUACUUUCCCCUCAGCUAACAUGGGGCAUUUGGGGCUUCCUGAUUCUAUUUACUAGUAAGAGGAAAGUGGUUUAAUGAGAUCGCAGAAGAUCCAAAGCCAGGAAAUGUUGACAUAUCAGCUUGGAGGGAAAACUGAUAUAUAGGACCCUAAGGAAGUUAGGGGCUUGGACAAAAGUAGCAAGACGAGAUUCAACCAAGAAACAAAACUAACCCAUGUUAUUAAUCUGCUCUGGGGAGAGGAUAGAGCCUGAAGCUAAGACAAGAGAGUUUAUAACUUUCUAUAAUCACCCAAAAGUUAAAUACAGCUGGAAAGCCCUACAGACAGAAGCCUGGAGGAGGCUGAGGUCUUUGUGAAAGUGCAACUUACAAGUAACGACUUACUUCCUUACCCCCUUCCUUCCUUGCCAGGAUCAGAAAGUCAAAGAAGGUGAAGAGGCUAACACCGCUGAUUUACAAAGACAGCGAGGAGGAACUAUGUCUAGGCCAAUUCUGGACGUCUGAGCUGGGGCGACAGGACCCAGACAACCACCUCAGGAAAUGAGUAAAUGAAAAGGGGGAGUCGUGGAAUUAUUUAGCCCUAGCACAACGCUGCCUAGACCGGGGUGGGGGUGGAGCAAGAAGAAAAUCUCAGAAAAGGAAUUUUGACAGUGAGAAUGCUAGUUAAGAUACAGCACUCCAGGCCCCCUGAUGUCCCUUGUUUGAUGUUAAUAAAGACCUAGAGGAUUAUGCA